AUCAACAAUGUAAAAUAGUGAAUACCAAACUAUUUUAUUUCCUUAGAAAUAAUGAAGAUCAGGCCUUGAUAGUACAGAUUUGUGAAGAUCUAGGGUUUUGGCUACCGAGAACACUAGAAAUAUUCAAAUCGAAGGUUUUCAAUACAGAUCAAGCCGCUCUGAUACCACUGUUGGUAUUUUAUGGUCCUAGAUUAAAAAUCGAACAAAUCAGAACAAAGAACACAAGAAAAUUUUCGCCCGUAGGCCCAGAUGUUCACCCAAAAAUGAGCUAAUCACCAUGUUGAGCAUCCACCUCGGUGAUUAUUGCUCCAAUCCACUAUAAUCUAGCAAAAUAGAUCAAUAUACAAGUAUCAGAGACUCAAGAAUCACACGACUCCACGCCUUCAGCCUCAACAUCCCACUUUUUCUCUCUUUUACAGAUUACACAAAGUAACCAAGGGUUAUUGCUCACCAAGGAAAAAGAAAACUACAACCAUGCCGUAAUCUACACUAAACAUCACCAAGAAUAUCCAGCCCUUGAAAGAUUACAAACGAAAACCAAAAUUUUUGAGAGAGAAAAUUACAGAGACAAAGAGAGUGUAAACUCUAGAAUAAUCUCGAAACCAUGCAAAUGAAUGAGAGAUUUGGAAUAUAAAAAGUCACAAUGCAUCCAACAGUUUAGCCAGCAACAGGUGUCAUCAUCUCAGUCAUCCACUAAAAAGAUGCGUUUUAAGUAAAUGCGAUAAUAUGCUCAAAAGGGCCAAACGGGGUCGCAUUCCAUCAUAAUGGGCUAAGUAGGCAAUUUAUUGGGCUGCAUCAUUGGGCCACACUUAGAUGUUAAGCACACAUUUAACAGUUAUGCUACAACUAAUGGUGAGUCCAGGAAUGAACCUUAGCUAGGGCGGUCAUUGACCGUCGACAGUCUAGGAUGAUCGUUAACCAUUGACCGUCGACAAUCAACAAUCACAAUAGUGAGGUCGUUUUUUAAUAUUUAAUUAAAUAAUAUUAAAAAUUCUUCAAUCUAUAUGUGAAUGCACUAAAAUCACAAAUCAUAAUUCUUCUAUCUAUCAUUUAUCACAAAUUCCCCAAUUUAUCAUUUAUCACAAAUCAUAGUCCACGUAUAUCACACAUUCACUAAUUUCCCAAUUUUCAUAAAUCAUAAACCUCGGUAGAAACAGCAGGCUCAUAGUCAUAAUUCAUAAAACAUAAAUCAUAAAUCAUUUUGCAAAUGAAAAAUCCAGUCACUCACAAGGUUGAAGGUUGAGGAUGCUUGGUUUUAACAGAUUCUUGAAACAAAAUAAAUUAUAUUGUUUCAAGAGAAAAUGAUACUACUAAUUGCAGAAAAGGUGCACAAAGUGAAGCUUGAAAUAAAUCAAUGCACACAUUGAUGUCAAAGAAAUAUCUAUUGCUUGAACUAGAGAGAUUUGGUAGCAGGUCUCAUUAGUAGCUAAAAUUUGACAAAUAAACUAACUUAGUAAAUACAAAUACUAAUUCCCAGGGUAAACAAUAACAAAAGAGGUGUUGAAUAACCACUAAUAAAUGAACAAUUAAAAUAUUUAUUCCAAAUAAGAAUUUAAAUUCACAAAAUUAUAGACCAUUCAUACUAACCAACUUCACGGCAACUUCUUCUCUGGUUUGUAUAUUUGCUCAUGAAAUUAAUUAAAGUAAAAUCAUUUCAAACAACAUCAAACCCAAAAGAGCU
rnacentral:lncRNA from 1 species